rnacentral:rRNA from 1 species
AGUGAACGCUGGCGGUAGGCCUAACACAUGCAAGUCGAACGGCAGCACAGUAAGAGCUUGCUCUUACGGGUGGCGAGUGGCGGACGGGUGAGGAAUACAUCGGAAUCUACUUUUUCGUGGGGGAUAACGUAGGGGAACUUACGCUAAUACCGCAUACGACCUACGGGUGAAAGCAGGGGAUCUUCGGACCUUGCGCGAUUGAAUGAGCCGAUGUCGGAUUAGCUAGUUGGCGGGGUAAAGGCCCACCAAGGCGACGAUCCGUAGCUGGUCUAAGAGGAUGAUCAGCCACACUGGAACUGAGACACGGUCCAGACUCCUACGGGAGGCAGCAGUGGGGAAUAUUGGACAAUGGGCGCAAGCCUGAUCCAGCCAUACCGCGUGGGUGAAGAAGGCCUUCGGGUUGUAAUGCCCUUUUGUUGGGAAAGAAAAGCAGCAGGUUAAUACCCCGCUGUUCUGACGGUACCCAAAGAAUAAGCACCGGCUAACUUCGUG